rnacentral:rRNA from 1 species
UACGUAGGGUCCGAGCGUUGUCCGGAUUUAUUGGGCGUAAAGAGCUCGUAGGCGGUUCCGUAAGUCGGUUGUGAAAUCUCCGGGCUUAACCCGGAAAGGUCAAUCGAUACUGCAGGGCUAGAGUGCAGAAGGGGCAACUGGAAUUCUCGGUGUAGCGGUGAAAUGCGUAGAUAUCGAGAGGAACACCUGCGGCGAAGGCGGGUUGCUGGGCUGACACUGACGCUGAAGCGCGAAAGCUAGGGGAGCGAACGGG